CUAUACAUGCAAGUCGAACGAACUCUGGUAUAGAUUGGUGCUUGCAUCAUGAUUUACAUUUGAGUGAGUGGCGAACUGGUGAGUAACACGUGGGAAACCUGCCCAGAAGCGGGGGAUAACACCUGGAAACAGAUGCUAAUACCGCAUAACAACUUGGACCGCAUGGUCCGAGUUUGAAAGAUGGCUUCGGCUAUCACUUUUGGAUGGUCCCGCGGCGUAUUAGCUAGAUGGUGGGGUAACGGCUCACCAUGGCAAUGAUACGUAGCCGACCUGAGAGGGUAAUCGGCCACAUUGGGACUGAGACACGGCCCAAACUCCUACGGGAGGCAGCAGUAGGGAAUCUUCCACAAUGGACGAAAGUCUGAUGGAGCAACGCCGCGUGAGUGAAGAAGGGUUUCGGCUCGUAAAACUCUGUUGUUAAAGAAGAACAUAUCUGAGAGUAACUGUUCAGGUAUUGACGGUAUUUAACCAGAAAGCCACGGCUAACUACGUGCCAGCAGCCGCGGUAAUACGUAGGUGGCAAGCGUUGUCCGGAUUUAUUGGGCGUAAAGCGAGCGCAGGCGGUUUUUUAAGUCUGAUGUGAAAGCCUUCGGCUCAACCGAAGAAGUGCAUCGGAAACUGGGAAACUUGAGUGCAGAAGAGGACAGUGGAACUCCAUGUGUAGCGGUGAAAUGCGUAGAUAUAUGGAAGAACACCAGUGGCGAAGGCGGCUGUCUGGUCUGUAACUGACGCUGAGGCUCGAAAGUAUGGGUAGCAAACAGGAUUAGAUACCCUGGUAGUCCAUACCGUAAACGAUGAAUGCUAAGUGUUGGAGGGUUUCCGCCCUUCAGUGCUGCAGCUAACGCAUUAAGCAUUCCGCCUGGGGAGUACGGCCGCAAGGCUGAAACUCAAAGGAAUUGACGGGGGCCCGCACAAGCGGUGGAGCAUGUGGUUUAAUUCGAAGCUACGCGAAGAACCUUACCAGGUCUUGACAUACUAUGCAAAUCUAAGAGAUUAGACGUUCCCUUCGGGGACAUGGAUACAGGUGGUGCAUGGUUGUCGUCAGCUCGUGUCGUGAGAUGUUGGGUUAAGUCCCGCAACGAGCGCAACCCUUAUUAUCAGUUGCCAGCAUUAAGUUGGGCACUCUGGUGAAACUGCCGGUGACAAACCGGAGGAAAGGUGGGGGAUGACGUCAAAUCAUCAUGCCCCUUAUGACCUGGGCUACCACGUGCUAA
rnacentral:rRNA from 1 species